GACCCGAAAAAUGGUGAACUAUGCCUGAUCAGAUUGAAGUCAGGGGAAACUCUGAUGAAGGACUGAAGCAAAUCUGAUGUGUGUAUCGAUUUUCAGAGUUAGGAAUAAGGACGAAAGAAUAAUCUAGUAGUUGG
rnacentral:rRNA from 1 species